rnacentral:lncRNA from 1 species
CCCAUCACCAAUAACUGUUAGGUGAGGUGAUGAGCCAGUUGGUGAGACCGCACCACCCACUAGAAAUCACUAAUCACGGAGAUUUUCACAUCUCUACCUAGGGAGUGUAGGGAUCUGAAAAAAUAGUGAGAGCCUAAUUUAUUUAAAAAAAACUCCUAAACAAAUUGGUUAAGUCUGAUUACAAAAUCUAACUAAAAACUUUUGACUCUCUACAAGAAACAUGUCUGCGUCCAACCCCCUGACCAAAAUACUAGACACCCACAGAUUGACUG